ACACAUGCAGUCGAGCGGGGAGAUGUAGCUUGCUACAUUUCCUAGCGGCGGACGGGUGAGUAAUGCUUAGGAAUCUGCCUAUUAGUGGGGGACAACAUUCCGAAAGGAAUGCUAAUACCGCAUACGCCCUACGGGGGAAAGCAGGGGAUCUUCGGACCUUGCGCUAAUAGAUGAGCCUAAGUCAGAUUAGCUAGUUGGUGGGGUAAAGGCCUACCAAGGCGACGAUCUGUAGCGGGUCUGAGAGGAUGAUCCGCCACACUGGGACUGAGACACGGCCCAGACUCCUACGGGAGGCAGCAGUGGGGAAUAUUGGACAAUGGGCGAAAGCCUGAUCCAGCCAUGCCGCGUGUGUGAAGAAGGCCUUUUGGUUGUAAAGCACUUUAAGCGAGGAGGAGGCUACUUAGAUUAAUACUCUAGGAUAGUGGACGUUACUCGCAGAAUAAGCACCGGCUAACUCUGUGCCAGCAGCCGCGGUAAUACAGAGGGUGCGAGCGUUAAUCGGAUUUACUGGGCGUAAAGCGUGCGUAGGCGGCUUCUUAAGUCGGAUGUGAAAUCCCUGAGCUUAACUUAGGAAUUGCAUUCGAUACUGGGAAGCUAGAGUAUGGGAGAGGAUGGUAGAAUUCCAGGUGUAGCGGUGAAAUGCGUAGAGAUCUGGAGGAAUACCGAUGGCGAAGGCAGCCAUCUGGCCUAAUACUGACGCUGAGGUACGAAAGCAUGGGGAGCAAACAGGAUUAGAUACCCUGGUAGUCCAUGCCG
rnacentral:rRNA from 1 species